AGGAGCCACAGACUAGGCCUCCCCAUUUGAUGGGGUGAUUAUGCUUGAGAAAGUAUGGUUGCCGGGUAACCUCCAUUCUGCUUGGAAUGUUAAGGACCAACAAUGGAGCUGGGCCUCUGGGGCUGCUCUGUAGGCUGCUUUAUGUCGCCUUCCCCGAGGAAGUGGUGCCAGGCCUCCCUCUUUCGUCCCCCGGGUCAGGGCCUUGGCGAGAACCCUAGCUUUUCAAGAAUGCAGAAUGGUUCUGGCCCGGAGAGCGAUCUCUCCUGAGGUUACAUUUUAGAUGUCGGUUGGGACAGGAGUCAUCUGAAGGCCUGCCUGGGGUCAGAGGAUCCACCUCUAAGAUGACUCAGACUCGCACAGCUGGCAGGUUGACGCUCGCUGUUGGUUCCCACCAGGUGGGCCUCUCCACCGGCCUGCCUGCACCUCCUCGCAACAUGGUGGCCCGUGGUCCCAGAGUGAACGAUCUAAGAGAGCAAGGCAGAAGCCUUGGAAAUCAUGCUCAGUUAUUUCUGCAGCCUCACUCUGCUGGCCACCUCUGUUAGUUUGGGAAGGGACAGCAUAACGUCAGGAGGCAAGAAUCCAUAGAGGCCUUCUUGGAGGCUGGUUACCAACAGAUGGGAGAGGCUGGAGGCAACCUAGCUUCAUUCCAGUUGAGAGAGAAUCCCCUUUCAAAAGAAAAAAGAAAAAGAAUAAGAAGCG